UACGAAGGGGGCGAGCGUUGUUCGGAAUUACUGGGCGUAAAGGGCGCGUAGGCGGCCGAUCAAGUCAGAUGUGAAAUUCCUGGGCUUAACCUGGGGGCUGCAUACGAGACGUAUGGGCUUGAGUGCGGAAGAGGGUCGUGGAAUUCCCAGUGUAGAGGUGAAAUUCGUAGAUAUUGGGAAGAACACCGGUGGCGAAGGCGGCGACCUGGUCCGUGACUGACGCUGAGGCGCGAAAGCCAGGGGAGCAAACGGG
rnacentral:rRNA from 1 species